GACGAACGCUGGCGGCGUGCUUAACACAUGCAAGUCGAACGGAAAGGCCCUGCUUUUGUGGGGUGCUCGAGUGGCGAACGGGUGAGUAACACGUGAGUAACCUGCCCUUGACUUUGGGAUAACUUCAGGAAACUGGGGCUAAUACCGGAUAGGAGCUCCUGCUGCAUGGUGGGGGUUGGAAAGUUUCGGCGGUUGGGGAUGGACUCGCGGCUUAUCAGCUUGUUGGUGGGGUAGUGGCUUACCAAGGCUUUGACGGGUAGCCGGCCUGAGCGGGUGAGCGGCCACAUUGGGACUGAGAUGCGGCCCAGACUCCUACGGGAGGCAGCAGUGGGGAAUAUUGCACUAUGGGCGGAAGCCUGAUGCAGCAACGCCGCGUGCGGGAUGACAGCCUUCGGGUUGUAAACCGCUUUCGCCUGUGACGAAGCGUGAGUGACGGUAAUGGGUAAAGAAGCACCGGCUAACUACGUG
rnacentral:rRNA from 1 species